UAUAUAUAUAUAUGGAGAGACGGUUAGCACUCCCCUUGACAAGGACGGAAGAGGUCAAUCGAUCUUUCUAACACAUAUGGGCAUUGCUCUCUACUUCAGAGCAACCUAUUUUUAUUU
rnacentral:ncRNA from 1 species